rnacentral:rRNA from 1 species
UAGGGAAUAUUGGACAAUGGGUGCAAGCCUGAUCCAGCCAUGCCGCGUGCAGGAAGAAGGCCUUCUGGGUCGUAAACUGCUUUUACCGGGGGAUAAAAUACUCUUGCGAGAGGAAUUGAAAGUACCUGGUGAAUAAGCCACGGCUAACUACGUGCCAGCAGCCGCGGUAAUACGUAGGUGGCAAGCGUUGUCCGGAUUUAUUGGGUUUAAAGGGUGCGUAGGCGGUUUUUUAAGUCAGUGGUGAAAUACGGCAGCUUAACUGUCGAGGUGCCAUUGAUACUGGGAAACUUGAGUACUGAUGAGGUAGGCGGAAUGGACGGUGUAGCGGUGAAAUGCUUAGAGAUCGUCCAGAACACCGAUAGCGAAGGCAGCUUACUAAGGAGUAACUGACGCUGAGGCACGAAAGUGUGGGGAUCAAACAGG